rnacentral:lncRNA from 1 species
GUUCAAUGGAAAGUUUUUAAACAUGGUUUCCAUUGAACAUGCCAUACAAAUGAAGGGAUUUUAAUGAAUGAUAUGAAGAGUUCCGUGGUCCUCCUUACUUUUUGACAUACUGUAUAUAGUCCGGACUGAAACUAUUUUCAGGCGUCGUCUAAAAUGGCACCCUAUACCCUAUUUAUUUAUUUGUACCAGGGCCCAUAGUUAUAUGGUCAAAGGGCUCUGGUUAAUAGUAGUGCACUAAAUAGGGAAUAGGGAAUUUAGGACUCAUUUGAUUACAUGAUGAUGGCUAGUAAUUCCACUAUUAACAACAACAAACCAACAUGCUCCUCUGAAACCAAACCUUUUCUUGAGGUUUAAUUGAACAUAUUGGUACAUUAUGCAGACACGUAAAUACACUGUGAUAUCAUACAAUAUAAACACAAUUCAAUUAUAAGAUCAGCCUAACUACAUGGACAGAUGUUUGGUGUCUUGUAGUAUUUCUUCAACUUAGAGAAAAUAAUCCUUUAUUGUUUAUUCAUAAAGAUCAUGAUCCCACCCUGGACCAGGAGGACCCAGUCCUUGUUCAGUUUGUGGAUGAGGAGGUUGGGCAGCGGCCCUGUCUGGCUUUAGUCCCUUGGUCUGGACCUCUGUGGGUUCCCAGCUCUCUGACUUAUUACCUUACCCUUGCUGGGAGGAUGUUAGUGAGAGAGCUGGCAGUGUUAAACACACAGCCAAAUAGUGAAGACUCUGGUUUUCCCUAUGAGAAGAUGCAGCUGGUUGGGAACUGGGGUUCAUUUCAUUUCCAUACCUGGAUAAUCCGUUAUGGACGAGUGCAGCAAAAUGAAGAGGACAUGCAUCACCUGUGCAUUGUGAGGGGAGUGGAGAAACAGCUGUGGUGGAGCAGAGUCAUUCAGGAAAAAAUCAUGGACCCAUGGGGUAUUGUCCAGGUGGUCCUCACCAACAAGGAGGUGACUGGUAUUAAGUUCCUUGGUAGAAGGAUCCAUGGACUCAGGUCUUGCCUCGUCAAGAGGAGGUUAGAGUUCACCUAUUAUGAGGACGCCCAGCAGGUGGAUAUCUCCACCACAGUGGAGGGGUUCCAGGAGAGGGGGGAUGACAUGAUGGCGUAUCAGUUCUCUACCUCUGACAUUAUCACCAUCCCUCAUGAGCCGUCCUCUGGCUCCUCUCACCAGUUCCCCCAGGAUUCUCCACCUCCCCCUCCGCCUCCCCCAUUCCCUUCCGAUUCCCCUCCACCUUACCACUUCACCCAGGACCAGGCCCAGGACCAGACCCCUGACAGCACUCCUCAGGAGUUUGUGGAGGAGCAACAUAAUGUUGCAGAUGUGCCCCAGCUGUGGAGUUACUUUGGAAACCAAGGGACAACCAACUUCUCUCUGAGGCUGGCCUGUAUCCGACGUGCUAUGGAGGCUCUGACAUCCUCAGACAGUUCCUCCCUUAAUUACCUCACCCACGCUGGGAGGAUGGUGUUGAGUGGACUGUCCAAGCUCAACCAGCAGGAUGUGAGGCAGUUUCAGCAGGCCUAUGACAUCCUGGUGAACUUCAUUAAUGAGCCAGCAAACAGGGAGCGACUAGAGCUGGAGAUGGCUCUUGUAGGAAUCAACCACAUCAACUUCACGGAUGUAUUUUAUGAAUUCGUUCUACUAAGCCUUCUAGAAGGAAAAACAUCUCUUCCAACAUCUAGGCCUGGUACCUUCUUUUAUCUGCUCAUGGAAGUGAUCAUGAGGAUUCGCCCUCCUGGAGGAGCCUGGACAGAGUCUGCUGGGAACUUCUACCUCCUCAUUAAGGAUCAGAUGAAGGCGUGGUUGGACUCCAUCUUCAACCUUGAUGAGUCCAUCUAUGAAAGCCCACAGAGGCUCUCGUGGCAGGUGAUGGUGAAUCUAGAAAUGCAGGUUGACUUCCUCCUGUCCAGCCUGGAUUAAGGGUCCCAAACUGAGCUGAGGAUCCCAAACAUAAAAUAAAAGUAUUUUGCAUUUAAACAUUACCUUUCAAUCUGAAACUAAUUUUACAUCAUGUCAAAACAAAUCAAAUCAAAUUUUAUUGGUCACAAACACAUGGUUAGCAGAUGUUAAUGCGAGUGUAGCGAAAUGCUUGUGCUUCUAGUUCCGACCGUGCAGGAAAAUCUAACACGUAAUCUAACAAUUUCAA